GUGUCUCGAUUUCGCAUAUAAAUACCUUGCGGAAGCUUCCUACGCAUUCAGUGUGCAGCGGAACUUGAGAGAUCGCUUUCAGUAAAACGCAAAAAGUGAAAAUGUUUAAGCGCAGUUCCUGUCUUGUAACCAUUUUACUCUUGCUUAUACAGCUUAUUUCAUGUUUACCGAGAUCACCUUCUUCCGAUUCAGUGGAUUCCAUUUUACCUGGAGCAACAACGAUAACUCCAACAGUAGGUGAAAAUGCUGUGCCAAGCGGUCACAGUAGCUAUGAGGAGGUGGUCCGAAAGUUCGUAAUAAGAAGCGUAAACUAUUGGCUACAACGAACCAAUCAAAUAGCCAAAAAUGUGCUCGCUGAUUCUUCUAUGAUAGUAUUGAUAGUGAAGCCAUGCAGAAGGAAUUAAGUCUGCUUAGAAAGUAUGUGACAGACUCUAACGAAGCAUUAAGUAAGGUUCUGCCUGCCGACCAGUUUGGUUCGAAUACGUUUUUCUUGUUUAUGAAAGAUACAGAAAACGUCCUUAGUGGUUUCAUGAGACAUUUUCAUUUUGGUUACGAAUCACUUACACCGGAAGAGCAGGUAACAUGGGAUGCUUUAAAAAAACAUGGCCUUUUCGAAUCCCGUGAAGAGCAUGAUAAAGCUCUUAACGAAAUUGUACGAUACUUGAUAGACGAAUUCGAAAAAUAUGUGAAAACACUCUCAGCUGCCGAGAAAGAGAAGGAUAAAAAUAUGAGAGAGAUGAUGGCGGCAUGGAAUGCAUACAAAAAGAAUGAGAUUAGUAAACUUAUUUUUGGGAUGACAUUGUAUAAAAUAAAUAUUUUGAAUAAAUAUGAUGAGUGGCUUAGAACUGCUUUUGCAAACUGACAUUA